GGGGAAGUAGCUAAAAUGGUUAAAUAGUAUCUUAGAUACUUACAAUACUAAAUCAAUAAGCAAUAGGUUUCAUAAACUAUUAAUAUGUAGGUUCGAGUCCUACCUUCCCCA
rnacentral:tRNA from 1 species